rnacentral:rRNA from 1 species
AACGAACGCUGGCGGCGCGCCUAAUACAUGCAAGUCGAGCGAGAAGGUGUAGCAAUACACUUGUAAAGCGGCGAACGGGUGAGGAAUGCAUGGGUAACCUACCCUCGAGUGGGGAAUAACUAGCCGAAAGGUUAGCUAAUACCGCAUACGUUUCCGGAACUUCGGUUUCGGAAAGAAAGCAAUACCGUGGGUAUUGCGCUCCUGGAUGGGCUCAUGUCCUAUCAGCUUGUUGGUGAGGUAACGGCUCACCAAGGCUUCGACGGGUAGCUGGUCUGAGAGGACGAUCAGCCACACUGGCACUGCGACACGGGCCAGACUCCUACGGGAGGCAGCAGUAAGGAAUAUUGCGCAAUGGACGAAAGUACUGACGCAGCGAC